AUUAUACUCCCUCCGAUCCUAAAUUGUUGUCGAAAUAUUACAUGUAUCUAGACGCCCUUUAAGAGUAGAUACAUCCAUAUUUGGGCAAAUUUGAGACAAGAAUUUAGGAUCGGAGGGAGUACUUG
rfam:Brachypodium distachyon strain Bd21 chromosome 5, whole genome shotgun sequence.